rnacentral:rRNA from 1 species
AAUGAACGUUGGCGGCGUGGAUUAGGCAUGCAAGUCGUGCGGAAAGGCUCCUUCGGGAGUACUCGAGCGGCGAAAGGGAGAGUAACGCGUGGAUAUCUACCCCCUGGCCUGGGAUAGCGGCGGGAAACUGCCGGUAAUACCAGAUAAUAUCUGCGGAUCAAAGGUGUGAUUCCGCCGGGGGAUGAGUCCGCGUCCUAUUAGCUAGUUGGUGAGGUAACGGCCCACCAAGGCUGAGAUGGGUACCGGGUGUGAGAGCAUGGCCCGGCUCACUGGGACUGAGACACUGCCCAGAGACCUACGGGUGGCUGCAGUCGAGAAUCUUCGGCAAUGGGCGCAAGCCUGACCGAGCGGCGCCGCGUGCGGGAUGAAGGCCUUCGGGUUGUAAACCGCUGUCAGAGGGGAGGAAAUGCAUGGGGGUUCUCCCUCAUGUUUGACCUAUCCUCAGAGGAAGUACGGGCUAAGUUCGUGCCAGCCGCCGCAGUAA